rnacentral:ribozyme from 11 species
CAAUGCAAGAAGCCAUUAACAAACAAUCAAGAUGGAACAAACAACUGUUGUUUGUUGUUGUUCCCUUUGUUUUUCCUUGUUGUUU